CCACCUGUGGGAAGGGCGGUGGCUUAGAAACCCGGCUUGAAUCCUGGCUUUGCCACUUACAAGCAGUAUGACUCUGGGCAAGUCACUUUGCCUCUCUGAGCUUGUUUUUUCAAGUGUGAGGUGGGGAUGUUAACAGCACCUGUCUCCUGAGUAUCGCGCUUGCAAUAACACCUGGCCUGUACUCAGUGUUCUAGAACUUUCUGCUACUUCCCUCCUGGAUGUCAGGUCUGAGGUCCUGACGUAACACAGUCUCACCUCCCAGGCUUUGAAAGGGCAGGAGAAAGGGAGACAAAAGUGAUAAGAAUAGUGAUCAGGCCUCCAUAUUCUAAGUCUACACUAUGUUAAAAGCUUUGUGUAUGUGAUUUUCCAUAAUUUUCAUAGUAACAUCUCAGUGAUACUAGUUAUCACCGCAUUUUGCAGCGUGGAUAGUCUGAGGCUCAGAGAUGGGUUGAAUUCACUUGCUCAGUCUCAGCUGGCAAGCUCGGACUCCCAAGAUAGCCUCCGUUCUCAGCCUCCAAGGGCCUGCAGGAAGGGAGGGAUGUCCUCACCACCCCUGUGGGAUUUGGGCAGUGAACCAAGCCGGUUGAACCAAUGUUCCAAUCUGGGCUUGCUACUCACUGGCUGAGUGACCUUGGGCAAGUUUCUCAACCUCUCUGUGCUCCAGUUUCCUCAAAGUGGGAGGGAGAACAACAACUCCAAAGGGCUGCAGAGGAUUCCAGGAGCUUCUGAGGGCCAAGAGCUUUCCUAGCACCAGGCCUGAUCAGGGCGGGUACAUGGGAACCAUGAGAGAUGGUUUCAGGAUUAUGCUGGGUGUCUCACGCACAAUAAAGGGGCAGCGACCUCCCAGAGCUCCCAGGGCUGGGUUUCUGGGGGAAGUGGGAGGACCAGUGCCUGGCUCAGGCCUCAGGGACAGUUGGCAGAUGACUAAGGAGGGAUUUUCCAGGCCGUGAAUCAGAGCCUGCCCCAUCCACACUUGGCCCAGACUCAUCGGUCCCAGCAGGCUUCCUAACUCUGGAGAGGCCAGGGAGCAAAGAACACCCCCCAAAGCCAGAGAGAGGACAGAGCCUAUGGGGACUGCAGCAGGCUUGGUCAGAGCCAGGCCACAUCUCCACUCCCCAGGGGCACACUCUGAGGCUGGAAAAGGGGACUCCAGCCACCCCAGCCCUGAGGCAUUGUGGCAGAACCCCCAGAAACUACAGAGGAUGUUUAAAGUUAUACACAUGACUUGCAUUGUAACUUCUGUUGGACAACGGCGGUCUUGAGACACAGCCUGCCACAGUGACAACAACAGAAAGAACGCGGAAAAUGGCAAUGGUGUAGUCACUGCUCCCACGCAUUAUCAACGCUGAAGCCUUCCACCAGUGCUGCAAAGUGGGGAUCACAGGCUCCAUUUCUCAGAUGAGGAAACUGAGGCUUGGAGAGCAAAGUGCUUGCCUGAAGUCACCCAGACUGGGAAGCCCUAGACUUAUGCCACGUGCCUUUCUUGCAAAGGAUUGGACGCAAAGAUGGACCGAUGGGGAAGGAGUCACUGGGGCGUGGGGAGAGGCAGGGAGGACUUCAGCAAAGCCCAUGUGUCAGCUGCUCCCCUUGCAAACAGGACCGCGGGGGCGCCCUUACCAGCAGUCCUCUUCAGCAUCUGGUG